rnacentral:rRNA from 1 species
GAGUUUGAUCUUGGCUCAGAUUGAACGCUGGCGGCAUGCCUUACACAUGCAAGUCGAACGGCAGCAUGAUCUAGCUUGCUAGAUUGAUGGCGAGUGGCGAACGGGUGAGUAAUACAUCGGAACGUGCCCUGUAGUGGGGGAUAACUAGUCGAAAGAUUAGCUAAUACCGCAUACGACCUGAGGGUGAAAGUGGGGGACCGCAAGGCCUCAUGCUAUAGGAGCGGCCGAUGUCUGAUUAGCUAGUUGGUGGGUAAAGGCCCACCAAGGCGACGAUCAGUAGCUGGUCUGAGAGGACGAUCAGCCACACUGGGACUGAGACACGGCCCAGACUCCUACGGGAGGCAGCAGUGGGGAAUUUUGGACAAUGGGCGAAAGCCUGAUCCAGCAAUGCCGCGUGUGUGAAGAAGG